AAUCAUUUGUGACAUAUGAAAUGCCCGGUUAUGCCGGAAUACUGUUAUCUGAGCAUUGAAAUCAUUUGUGACGCAUGAAUGGGUGAAAGUGAGGGACCUAAUUAAAAGACGGAACUGUGUGGUGCGGUAUGGGACGUGCCAUAACGGUUUAGUCUGGUAAUUGGGGACCCGGGUAAGUAUGUGACAUUUAUGUCCUUACAUAUGUAUGUGUUAAAAGUAUUCUGAUGAUAUAUGAUCUCGAUAUCUUAUGCAUGAUUUAAUUGACACUAACAUGCAGGAAAGUACUGGUAUUAAGAAAGUGUGAGAAAGGCGAUUAGAUUGCAUGUUGAGUGUACCCUUCUC
rnacentral:lncRNA from 1 species